rnacentral:rRNA from 1 species
GUCCACGCCGUAAACGAUGAGAGCUAGUUGUCAGUAGGCAUGCCUAUUGGUGACGCAGCUAACGCAUUAAGCUCUCCGCCUGGGGAGUACGGCCGCAAGGUUAAAACUCAAAGAAAUUGACGGGGGCCCGCACAAGCGGUGGAGCAUGUGGUUUAAUUCGAAGCAACGCGCAGAACCUUACCCACGCUUGACAUGUCCGGUAUGAUUUCCAGAGAUGGAUUUCUUCAGUUCGGCUGGCCGGAACACAGGUGCUGCAUGGCUGUCGU